rnacentral:rRNA from 1 species
GUAGUCAUAUGCUUGUCUCAAAGAUUAAGCCAUGCAUGUCUAAGUAUAAGCAAUUUAUACAGUGAAACUGCGAAUGGCUCAUUAAAUCAGUUAUCGUUUAUUUGACAGUUCCUUUACUACAUGGUAUAACUGUGGUAAUUCUAGAGCUAAUACAUGCUUAAAAUCUCGACCCUUUGGAAGAGAUGUAUUUAUUAGAUAAAAAAUCAAUGUCUUCGGACUCUUUGAUGAUUCAUAAUAACUUUUCGAAUCGCAUGGCCUUGUGCUGGCGAUGGUUCAUUCAAAUUUCUGCCCUAUCAACUUUCGAUGGUAGGAUAGUGGCCUACCAUGGUUUCAACGGGUAACGGGGAAUAAGGGUUCGAUUCCGGAGAGGGAGCCUGAGAAACGGCUACCACAUCCAAGGAAGGCGGCAGGCGCGCAAAUUACCCAAUCCUAAUUCAGGGAGGUAGUGACAAUAAAUAACGAUACAGGGCCCAUUCGGGUCUUGUAAUUGGAAUGAGUACAAUGUAAAUACCUUAACGAGGAACAAUUGGAGGGCAAGUCUGGUGCCAGCAGCC